CCUGAACGCUGGCGGCGUGGCUAAGACAUGCAAGUCGAACGGGUGUAGCAAUACACCAGUGGCGGACGGGUGAGUAAUGUAUCGCUAAUGUGCCCCCGGAAUCCGGGAUAGCUAGCCGAAAGGCUAGGUAAUACCGGAUGAUAUACCUUGAAGGCAUCUUCGAGGUCUCAAAGGAGCAAUCCGGUCUGGGAGCAGGCGAUAUCGUAUCAGCUAGUUGGGAGGUAACGGCUCACCAAGGCGACGACGCGUAGCCGGGCUGAGA
rnacentral:rRNA from 1 species